AUUGAACGCUAGCGGCAGGCCUAACACAUGCAAGUCGAACGAGCGGCGGACGGGUGAGUAAUGUAUGGGAAUCUGCCUGAUGGCGGGGGAUAACUACUGGAAACGGUAGCUAAUACCGCAUACCAUCAGAUGAACCCAUAUGGGAUUAGCUUGUAGGUGGGGUAACGGCUAACCUAGGCGACGAUCCCUAGCUGGUCUGAGAGGAUGACCAGCCACACUGGGACUGAGACACGGCCCAGACUCCUACGUGAGGCAGCAGUGGGGAAUAUUGGACAAUGGGCGAAAGCCUGAUGCAGCCAUGCCGCGUGUAUGAAGAAGGCCUUCGGGUUGUAAAGUACUUUCAGUCGGGAGGCGGUACCUGCAGAAGAAGCACCGGCUAACUCCGUGCCAGCAGCCGCGGUAAUAC
rnacentral:rRNA from 1 species